CCGCGCUAGACGGGAAGUUAGCGGUGUCCUGUAACUCGCAAUCCGCUUUAGCGAGGUUGAACUCCCACCGGAGGAUAGUCUGUCCUUUAGUCAGGUUUGGGGCACGUGGCGUUGACGGCUGGGUCCUGCUCAACGUGAUGUCGGCGAACCCGGUCAGGUCCGAGAGGAAGCAGCCGCAGUCGGUUUGUCGCGUGUGCUGCAGGGCUGCCUGGCCCGAGCCAACGACCGCCAAGGCCGUUCUGGACAGCUGUUCGAUGUUGGGUGCGCGG
rnacentral:SRP_RNA from 1 species